GUCUACGGCCAGGCCACCUUGAACAAGCCCGAUGUCUGAUCUCACAAGCUAAGCAGGGUUGGGCCUGGUUAGUACUUGGAUGGGAGACCACCUAGGAAGACCAGGUGCUGUAGGCA
rnacentral:rRNA from 1 species